GUAUGUUCCUGGUGUUCCAUUGUUCCCUUUAGCUGCAAGUCAUAAAACAAAGGCCUAGCCUGUUUGCUGGAGCAAAGAGAUCACAGCUAUGAAACAAGAAAGAGAAGUAUUUCCAAAAGCUGUUAUGUCUUAGCCUACAAUCUGCCUGCUCAGAAAGCUCAAAAAUUUAAGUGGCUGUUCAAGAGCUGCUCACAAAUUCAGCCAAUCAGUAACCAGCAUUCUGAUUCCUGCCCAGCAACAGGAGACAGACAAUAAGGUCAGAGAAACAUAGUUAAAACCUGGACCUGCAAGAUUUCGGCAUCUUUCCAGGAAUACAAAUCAAUUCCCUACCUGGGGAAUGAGUCAAACAUGGACAUACAUAACAAGAACAUACUUUUCUACACAAAAGAUGAACCUUGUCAUUUUUCAAAACAUACCCAAGAGGGAACUUGCUGCAGCCAUACUCUUAGUUUAUAUAAUCUCC